rnacentral:rRNA from 1 species
AACGAACGCUGGCGGCAUGCCUAACACAUGCAAGUCGAACGAGACCUUCGGGUCUAGUGGCGCACGGGUGCGUAACGCGUGGGAAUUUGCCUCGGGGUACGGAAUAACUCAGGGAAACUUGAGCUAAUACCGUAUGAUGUCUUCGGACCAAAGAUUUAUCGCCCUGAGAUAAGCCCGCGUAGGAUUAGCUAGUUGGUGAGGUAAGAGCUCACCAAGGCGACGAUCCUUAGCUGGUCUGAGAGGAUGAUCAGCCACACUGGGACUGAGACACGGCCCAGACUCCUACGGGAGGCAGCAGUGGGAAUAUUGGACAAUGGGCGAAAGCCUGAUCCAGCAAUGCCGCGUGAGUGAUGAAGGCCUUCGGUUGUAAAGCUCUUUGCCGGGACGGACUAAUAGACGGUACCGAGAGAAUAAG